CCAGCAGAAACUAUUUUCCCCUUAUCUCUAAUUUUGUUGUAGAGACAGUAUAAGCAUUAAUAGGAAGGAACAAGGGGUUUUGCUGGUUGAGAUAAGGAUAGCUAUACAGGGCAUUGACUCACAUUGAUUUCCUGUGCGUGGGUGUUACCUUCUAGGUUAAUUCUUUUUGAUCUAACCUUUUGUCUAGUACCUGUUCCCCUUUUCCUAUUGGCCUCAGUUGCUUUUAAGGUAUCUGCUUUAGUUUCUCUGCAUUAAGGGCAACAAAUGCUAGCUAGUUUUUUAGGUGUCUUACCUAUCCUCACCCCUCCCUUGUGUGCUCUCGCGUUUAUCAUGUGCUCAUAGUCCAAUCCACUUGUUGUGUUUGCCCUUGAUCUAAUGUCCACAUAUGAGGGAGAACAUACGAUUUUUGCUGACCUGUCUUUAACAGUGUUGCUCCUAAUUAAUAUUUCAUCCUACUUUUAUUAGUUUAUAGGUGCCACAUGGAAAGAACUACUCUGGAUUGAGAGUAUCUUCUUAUGUACUUAAAGUCUUUGGGACAGCAUGUGACUGUAGGGAUAGCCUGUGUGUCUGUAUUGUCUCACUCCUGCAAACAGUGACUUCUUUGCUAUGAGUCAGGACGGUUGCUGUGUAGACAUAUGUCUUAGGUAUGAUGAUGCCUGUACCUUUCAGAGCCUCUCACGAAUGGGCUCGGUAGUAAAUUUAUGAGCCUUCACUUCUGUUUUUCCUUCCUAAGGAAGCCAUGUUGUACUUUUUUGCUAAUGACUUCUUGGUGUUUGAAGACUUCUCUUAAUUGAAGUUUUCUCUUUCUGAUUCUCUCCAUGUUCUUAGAUUUAAAAAAUAGUAAACUAAAAAAUGACUACACACACACGCAUGCACACACACACGAGAUCUUGGAUGUAAGAGGAAGGAUUGGAGUUGAGUCUUUGUGGAAUAAAGUGACCCAGAUUCAAGCAACCCCUUCUUCUCAAGACUAGAACAAUUUGCCAGUUACUCAAAAUGAAUUGCUCUAGGAAUACAUGGUGAUAAAAACCUAAGAGGUAAGUUGCAGUGAUUUAUGUGAUCAUUGGAGCUGGAUUUUAGGUUACUGGUUUUGUUAUUUUUGUUUCAUACUCUAUUUUGCAGUGUGAGAAUGGUAGUACCUUAACAUUAUUGCAGCCUUUCUCCCUGCCAGUUUCUCCUCACAGACUAAAGAUGCUAGACUCUGCUCAGAUUUAAGAAGUACACCUUUGCCAUUGACCUCAUUAGGAAAUGUGUUCCUUGAGGGGAAAAAAAUCACAAAGGAAGUUACACUUAUUGAGUAUGUUUUCUUUCUCUUAAUAGAAGGAUGGCUCUCUGCCAUGCUUUGUUGUUGUUUAAUAUUAUAGAGAUUUUACUGCAGCUCCGUUGGUGAUUACAAGAGUGCUACAUUUUGGCUAACAAAUGCAGCAAAUGUGAUGAAAAUGUCCUAUGUUGUACAUUUCUGUGAAUAACAUGUUUAUAUAACAUGCUAAAUACUUCUGUUUAAGAAUUGCUUCCCUGAAAUUGCAAAUUCCAUUUCCAGAUUUCAGUGUUAUAGUGAAUUGUUGGCUAUUCCAAAUUACAUGGG
ensembl:lncRNA